rnacentral:rRNA from 1 species
UACACUCCUGCGGGAGGCAGCAGUAGGGAAUCUUCCACAAUGGGUGCAAACCUGAUGGAGCAAUGCCGCGUGAGUGAAGAAGGUCUUCGGAUCGUAAAGCUCUGUUGUUAGAGAAGAACACGUGCUAGGUAACUACUAGCGCCUUGACGGUAUCUAACCAGAAAGUCACGGCUAACUACGUGCCAGCAGCCGCGGUAAUACGUAGGUGACAAGCGUUGUCCGGAUUUAUUGGGCGUAAAGGGAGCGCAGGCGGUCUGUUUAGUCUAAUGUGAAAGCCCACGGCUUAACCGUGGAACGGCAUUGGAAACUGACAGACUUGAAUGUAGAAGAGGAAAAUGGAAUUCCAAGUGUAGCGGUGGAAUGCGUAGAUAUUUGGAGGAACACCAGUGGCGAAGGCGAUUUUCUGGUCUAACAUUGACGCUGAGGCUCGAAAGCGUGGGGAGCGAACAGGAUUAGAUACCCCGGUAGUCCCAUGAU